GGAAGUGUUUCUGUCACUCCCUUAACAGGAGGACCAAACAGAAGCUGUGCUUGUGGUCGGUACGCUCACCGUGGAUUCAGGAGCGCUGCACUGAAGUCCUUGCCCCAGAAUGCAUGGGUUACUCCCAUCCCAUGUGAAACAAGAGGGCUAUGGAAGACUGAGAACCUAUUCUUGAAAGUAAUAUUUUGUAGACUAAAGAAGCCGUGGCAACAUAAGGCUACAACACUGUUUCUAUCACAAGACAAGCUUGAGUCAGCGACUGCCUUUGAAACAUCUGCGGUGUUGGCUAAAAUAGACCAGAUUUGAUGUACAUUGAAGGAGUUGUGAAAAUAUCCCAGAAUAGGAAGAGGGAACAGGGAAUAUCAGAGAAGAGGAGAAGAAAAAAAAACAUUGGAGUAAACCAACAGCUGUGAAACAGUUUCCCUGCUUUUGUCAUUGCUAUUCUUUUUCCUGCUAGACUGAUUAACUUAC
ensembl:lncRNA